AAAUAAAAAAAGAUGGGAUUAUUAUAAUGAAAGUGUAUGCUGACAUUAUAAUAAUCUUGUCUAUGUUCUAAAUACAAAAUACCUUCACGAGGUUUAGAAUGAGUGAUAUAAGGAAGUUAUAUUAGCUAAAUUUAAAAUAAAAUGGGUGAGUUGAUGGUUAAAAGUGUGUGUAGUUAGGUGUAGAGAGGUACGUUUGGAUAUAAAUUAGAUAGAAAGAUUUAAAUAUUUUUAACGAUUAAAAGCAAGAAUUUUACUUGUAACAAAACACUAAUUUCAACA
rnacentral:misc_RNA from 1 species